ACAAUGGUACUUCUGUCCAGUCACAGCCCCGGGUGGUACCGGGAUCACGCAAUGAGGGCAGUCCGGAGAGAUCCUCGGGAGGGUGAGAAGCCCAUG
rnacentral:ncRNA from 1 species